CGAAACUGCGAAUAGCUCAUUAAUACGCUCAGAAUCUAUUUGGCGGCGACCAACAGGUCUUAAAUGGAUAGCAGCAGCAACUCUGGUGCUAAUACAUGCGAUUGUUUCUCCAGAUGUGAAUUAUGGAGGAAAAGUUGACCUCAUCAGAGGCACGCCAUUCGACUGAGUGACCUAUCAGCUUGUACUUAGGGUCUUUACCUAGGUAGGCUAUCACGGGUAACGGGCGGUUACCGUCGGACUGCCGGAGAAGGCGCCUGAGAGAUAGCGACUAUAUCCACGGGUAGCAGCAGGCGCGAAACUUUCCCACUCGAGACUUUCGGAGGAGGUAAUGACCAGUUCCAUUGGUGCCUUUUGGUACUGUGGAUAGGGGUACGGUUUUCCACCGUACCGAAACCUAGCAGAGGGCCAGUCUGGUGCCAGCAGCUGCGGUAAUUCCAGCUCUGCGAGUUUGCUCCCAUAUUGUUGCAGUUAAAACGCCCGUAGUCUGAAUUGGCCAGCAAUGGUCGUACGUAUUUUUACGUUCACUGUGAACAAAUCAGGACGCUUAGAGUAUGGCCACAUGAAUGACUCAGCGCAGUAUGAAGUCUUUGUUUUCUUCCGAAAACAAGCUCAAUGAGAGCCAUCGGGGGUAGAUCUAUCUCAUGACGAGUGGUGGAAUACUUUGACUCAUGAGAGAGAAGCUGAGGCGAAGGCGUCUACCUAGAGGGUUUCUGUCGAUCAAGGGCGAGAGUAGGAGUAUCCAACAGGAUUAGAGACCCUGGUAGUUCCUACCUUAAACGAUGCCGACAGGAGUUUGUCAUUUGUUAAUGGCAGAAUCUUUGGAGAAAUCAUAGUUCUUGGGCUCUGGGGGAACUACGACCGCAAGGCUGAAACUUGAAGGAAUUGACGGAAGGGCACACCAGGGGUGGAGCCUGUGGCUUAAUUUGAAUCAACACGGGGGAAACUUACCAGGACCAGAUGUUUUUUUAUGACUGACAGGGCUUCGGGUCUUUCAGGAUAUUGUUUUUUGGUGGGUGCAUGGCCCGUUGGUGGGUGCGUGGGGUUGACCUGGUCUAGCGGUUGAUUCAGCUAACGAACGAAGAUUAUCGCCCAAUUAUUUACUUUUGCCGAAGUCCUUCCGGUUAAAGUUCUAAUUGGGGACUCCCCUGCGAAUUUUAGCAGGUGGGAAGAAGGGUAGCAAUAAACAGG
rnacentral:rRNA from 1 species